rnacentral:lncRNA from 1 species
CAGAGCAGGGCGGAAGGGCUGAUUUCUCUCCUGGUUGCAGACAGAGGUGCGGCAGCAGCUGAGCUCCUUCCCCUGGCAUGGCACCACGCUCUGCCAGAGGUCUUUCUGCGAGGUGGCGGCUGGCGAGGUGCGUGCAGGCUCCCAGGUGCCAGACCCCCUUGGUGGGAGCUGGCGGUGCACCUCAACUGGAGGAUGGCACAGGGAUCUUCUCACUUCCCAAAACCUUGGGGGCCGUUUCGUUUCAGAAGCUCUCCAGCCAGGAGCUCAGCCCUGAGCCCUUGCAGGAGCCAGCCCAUGAGGCCCCAUGCAAGCUGAGCUGGCUCAUGGAGCAGCAUGAAGUCGUCAGCCGCUGUGAGAGCCAACUUCAGCAGUACUCCGACUUGGGGACCUUGGAGGACACGGCUGCCCAACUGGAGAAGGUGCCAAGCGAAACCAGGCACCUGCAGGAUGAAGGAGCGAAGGUGCCCACCUGCCUGAUCCUUGGGGGGGGUACUGCCCAAGAGUCUGGGGGCUGCAGCCCCGCAGCCUGCUUACCGGGCCGCACAGGGACAUCUCUUGGGAUGUCCUCACUAGCCACUCACUGGGGCCACCCAUAAGCAUACUUCCCUGCCUCACCUGCAUCCUGCAGCCACUCUGUUUCUCACCCAGGGCCACAUUUGUUCUCCCCAGGGCCUGGAUUUCGGCAGGGAGGUGCUGGACCAGGUGGGGCAGCUGCAGGAGCAGUGCGCGAGGCUGCAGGAAGCUGCGGAGCAGCUGUGGGGUGACAUUGGGGACACCCAGGUGAGCACAGCCCUGGGGUCAGCUCAGGAACCACCUGAGCCAUGGUUGGCAUCUGAACCAGGCUGGGUACAGGCUUGCCCAGACUUGGUGUGUCCCCGCCAUGUCCCCCUCAGAAGGCAGAAAAGGCUGCACUGGAGAACAAAUUGAGCCAGGAUGAGCUGCAACAUGCCAUGGUCCAGCUGAGCCAGAUGAUGCAGAACCUGCUGCAGAGGAUGUCCCUGCUGGACCAGGACAGGCAGAAAGACCUGGAGAAGCUCCUCAGCGAGAUGGACUCCAAGGUAGCAGUGUCACCCGGGUACGGUGGUGGGGAUGGAGGGAUGCACCAGGCCAGGGAGCAGAUCCCUGUGUGGGGAGAGCGAGCCCUGAAUGUGUCUCAAGGUGCCCCCAAUGUCCCUCAGGGGCAAUAGCAUCCCUUGAAAUGGGGCUGGUGUACCAACGAGACCCCCCCCUGCCCUCCCUGCAGCUGGACUCUGCGGCCCUGGCUCCCCUGCAGGCACAGCUGGAGCAGGUCUGGAGGCUCACCCAGCGGUGCCUCUGCAAGGGACGCUGCUGCGGUGCCAACCGGGCUGCUGGGUUCAAGAGGUGGGAGCUGCUGGAUCCCAUCCUAUCCCAUCUUGCCCUCUUCUGUCCUCUCCUGUGCUGCCCCAUCCCCUCCCAUGC